AGACCAGAGGUUCUCAAACUGUGGUCUGCGAGCUCCAUUUUGGUGGUCCGUGGAUAGUUCCCUCUGAGGUGCGUGCCUGGGUGGCCGCACACAAAAGAAUGAAGGGCCACCCACCUAAUUAGUGGCUCCACUAAUUAGGUGCCUGGAUCCUGGAGAAGACGCACAUGUAAGUUUGCAGGGUGUGGGCAAGCACUGUGCAAGCUUCCUGGAGAGCUGUGCAUGUCAACACCACUCAUGAACAACGCCAUGUGCUCUGCGUCAAGGUGUGUGCCAGUAACAGCAGCAGUGAAACUGAAGCAGCAGCAGGCUACGUGACCUGCCCAAGACCUCUUGGCAGAGAGGCUGUAGGAGAUUGUAAUGUUAAUUCUGAAGCGUGUGAAGAGAGCUGAACCAUGAUGGGUAAUGUGACUCACCUUGGAGAAGUCGGCAUUUUCCUGCUGAGUGAAAGCAGAAAGUUUCAGCCUGCUAGCACAGAUGUGCUACUGGACAUUACGACGGUAGAGGAAACCUUGUCUGCACAUCCUGCUUGUUACUAGAGGAGAGUAAAAAAUUACGUACUAUCAUAAAUGUUUAAUGAGCUGUGUUUAAAAAAAAAAUAUGGUGAGCAAAAUACCAAGUUAAUUAACUACAGAGUCCCAGCAUUCCCCCAAAGGAAGUGUUCAGGCCAAAUAUGGCUGAACUAUCAGCUGUCAUAUGAGGAAUAUUUUAAAGAAGAUUCUAUUAUACACCCAGGGGUUCAUUCGCCUCAAUAAUGAGGACAGUUACCUCUAGGGAGAGGAAGCUGCAUUACGUUUGCCACUUAACCAAGGGUUGGUUUGACAGGCGUCAGCUCAGAGCGUGUCAGUGUGUAUAUAUAGGGAAUCACAGCUCCUUGUCUCUACCUCACUUUGCAGGAAAUGUGGUGCUGUACAAUAGUUUGGAUUUCUAUCUAUGGAUCUGUAUAUGGCACCAUGUGGGAUAUUUUUAAUCCCAAACCCAACUGUUGAGGUAGAAUCCAAUACCUGGUAAAUAUUAAAUAGGCUUUUUUUUUUAAAAAGAGCAACACUGUGUGUGCUGACUUUAACAGCCCUAUGUGGCCCAGAGGGAAAGAAAAACAGUUUUCUCUUCUUGUUUAGGUGGAGUAAUUAUAUCAACAGGAGAACGCUCUCCUGUCGACAUAGAACGUCUUCACCAGAUAUGCUGAAUCAGCACUGCUGCAUCGAUGUCAAUUUAGCACAGUAGUGAAGACAA